rnacentral:lncRNA from 1 species
UGGUAUAUCCCAUGACCAUUGUUUGUUGACAGGUCCAAAACAUUAGACCAUGCAUCUGACAAAUUAUGCCAUCCCUUAUUUCUUCCUUGUGUUUCAGGUGGCACAAAACAGGACCUUAACCAGGGCGUUCCCGAUGGGUUGCAACAGAAUAGGACAGAAGAACAAGAUUUACCACCAUUCGAAGCACUACACGAUAGUAUUGCUUAUCAGAAUGUAAUUCACUACUCCUGGCAACAUGUUCACUUCUGGUUCUCAAAAAAAAAUCACUCAUUUAGUGUCCCAACUGUUGUCUACCUUCCUCACC